rnacentral:rRNA from 1 species
UACAGAGACUGCAAGCGUUAUUCGGAUUCACUGGGCGUAAAGGGUGCGCAGGCGGUCGUGUGUGUCAGGUGUGAAAUCCCGGAGCUUAACUCCGGAACUGCGCCUGAAACUACACGACUAGAGCAUUGGAGAGGGAAGUGGAAUUCAUGGUGUAGCAGUGAAAUGCGUAGAUAUCAUGAGGAACACCAGAGGCGAAGGCGACUUCCUGGACAAUUGCUGACGCUCAGGCACGAAAGCAUGGGGAGCAAAAGGGAUUAGAAACCCCCGUAGUCC